rnacentral:rRNA from 1 species
GUAAAUUUGUGAGAAGGAGUCGCGUAAAUUCUAAUGUUCAAGGCUUUAUCCGGAUUUAUUGGGUUUAAGUGGUGCGUAGGCGGCUUAUUAAGUCAGAGGUGGAAGCCUGGAGCUUAACUCCAGAGUUGCCUUUGAUACUGAUGAGCUUGAAUAUAGUUGAGGUAGGCGGAAUGUGUCAUGUAGCGGUGAAAUGCUUAGAUAUGACACAGAACACCGAUUGCGAAGGCAGCUUGCUAAACUAUAAUUGACGCUGAGGCACUAAAGCGUGGGGAUCAAACAGGAUUAGAUACCCGGGUAGUC